AUUGAACGCUAACGGCGUGCUUAACACAUGCAAGUCGAGCGGCAGUAUGACUGUAGCAAUACAGUUGAUGGCGAGCGGCGGACGGGCGAGUAAUGUAUAGGAAUCUGCCUUGUAGUGGGGGAUAACCCGGGGAAACUCGGGCUAAUACCGCAUAAUCUCUACUGAGCAAAGUGGGGGACCUUCGGGCCCUACGCCAAAAGAUGAGCCUAUGUUGGAUUAGCUAGUUGGUAGGGUAAAGGCCUACCAAGGCAACGAUCCAUAGCUGGUCUGAGAGGAUGAUCAGCCACACUGGGACUGAGACACGGCCCAGACUCCUACGGGAGGCAGCAGUGGGGAAUAUUGGACAAUGGGCGAAAGCCGGAUCCAGCAACGCCGUGUGUGUGAAGAAGGCCUUCGGGUUGUAAAGCACUUUUAGUGGGGAAGAAAAGUUCAUGGCUAAUAUCCAUGAAUGCUGACGUUACCCACAGAAAAAGCACUGGCUAACUCUGUGCCAGCCGCCGCCGUAA
rnacentral:rRNA from 1 species